GCACGAACACUGUAAACCAAGACUAAAAGAAUGAUAUGAUAAUUGAUGUGUAUCUUGGAUAGCUUGAAGAGUUUCUGUUCAGUAGUCUUCUCUUCUUCAUGAAGCCGUGUAAAUAGUAUAUAUAUAAAGAAGAGAGCAAAGGCUAUGAAACCUUCCAAUUCCUCCUGCAACGGCUAUAUCUUUUUGAUUGAAAUAGGAGAUCCACGUUACCAAUG
rnacentral:lncRNA from 1 species